rnacentral:rRNA from 1 species
GAUGAACGCUAGCUACAGGCUUAACACAUGCAAGUCGCAGGACUGGCGCACGGGUGAGUAACGCGUAUCCAAUCUUCCCAUAACUACGGGAUAACCCGUUGAAAGACGGCCUAAUACCGUAUGGGUAGGGCUGGGGAUGCGUCUGAUUAGCUGGUUGGCGGGGUAACAGCCCACCAAGGCGACGAUCAGUAGGGGUUCUGAGGGGAAGGCCCCCCACAUUGGAACUGAGACACGGUCCAAUCUCCUACGGGAGGAAGCAGUGAGGAAUAUUGGUCAAUGAGCGAGAGCCUGAACCAGCCAAGUAGCGUGAAGGAUGACGGCCUAUGGAUUGUAAACUGCUUUUAUGUGAGGAUAGGUACCACAUGAAUAAGGACCGGCUAAUUCCGUGCCAGCAGCCGCGGUAAUAC